rnacentral:rRNA from 1 species
AUUGAACGCUGGCGGCAGGCCUAACACAUGCAAGUCGAGCGGAUGAAGGGAGCUUGCUCCUGGAUUCAGCAGCGGACGGGUGAGUAAUGCCUAGGAAUCUGCCUGGUAGUGGGGGAUAACGUCCGGAAACGGGCGCUAAUACCGCAUACGUCCUGAGGGAGAAAGUGGGGGAUCUUCGGACCUCACGCUAUCAGAUGAGCCUAGGUCGGAUUAGCUAGUUGGUGGGGUAAAGGCCUACCAAGGCGACGAUCCGUAACUGGUCUGAGAGGAUGAUCAGUCACACUGGAACUGAGACACGGCCCAGACUCCUACGGGAGGCAGCAGUGGGGAAUAUUGGACAAUGGGCGAAAGCCUGAUCCAGCCAUGCCGCGUGUGUGAAGAAGGUCUUCGGAUUGUAAAGCACUUUAAGUUGGGAGGAAGGGCAGUAAGUUAAUACCUUGCUGUUUUGACGUUACCAACAGAAUAAGCACCGGCUAACUUCGUG